GUUGGAGUCAGAUUUCAGGGUUGAAGAACAGAUCUCUAUAGGUGAGGAGUAGAAUUUUCAGGGUUAUUUUUCCUUCAAGGUCUUUGCAUAUUUUGAGGUACUCUUAGUUUGGGUGAGGAGUGAUGGCUAGGCUGAGG